AGAAUCAACGCUGGCGGCGUGCCUAACACAUGCAAGUCGAACGAGAAAGUAGGGAGCAAUCCAUGAGUAAAGUGGCGGCACGGGUGAGUAACACGUGACUAACCUACCCUUGGAGUGGGGAAUAACUGAGAGAAACCUUAAGCUAAUACCGCAUAAUACCUACGGGGUCAAAGGAGCAAUUCGCUUAAGGAGGGGGUCGCGGCCGAUUAGUUAGUUGGCGGGGUAAUGGCCCACCAAGACGACUGAGUCGGUA
rnacentral:rRNA from 1 species